GCACUGGUUUAGCUCAGUGGUUACUUCGAACACAUUUCUCCUGUAGAAAUAGCUGCUCUCUAUCCCUCACCGGGAUCGAACCACGGGCGCUGUCCAGUGUGUUU
rnacentral:vault_RNA from 1 species